UUUCAGUAUAUUUCUAUUCUAAUGCGUAAUAGUUAAUCUCGUCCAACGGAAAUUCAACGUAAUUUUCUUUGUCAGUAUCAAUCUCUACAUUCUUAUAGCAAGAGCAGGGACAAACUUUUGAAGAAUGUAUGGUUCAAGUAUUGAAUACAAUGUCUUCAUGAUCAAUUGAUAAUAUUGUGAAAUUAUUUUCAUCCAAUAAAUAUGAACUUCAGUUAGUUAUUUUAUUUUUGCGUUUCUAUCAUUAUAAUGGUAUAUAGAUCAGGU